AUGCCAUGUUGGGGACACUUUCGGAGUAGUCCUUUAAAUCUGUCCCAUGCCUAAUACUAGGAUUCACUUUCUUUUUGUUCAAAAGUUGUGAUCACUGCUUUGAGCCU